GAUGAACGCUGGCGGCGUGCUUAACACAUGCAAGUCGAACGAUGAAGCCCAGCUUGCUGGGUGGAUUAGUGGCGAACGGGUGAGUAACACGUGAGUAACCUGCCCUUAACUCUGGGAUAGGCCUGGGAAACUGGGUCUAAUACCGGAUAGGAGCGCCUACCGCAUGGUGGGUGUUGGAAAGAUUUAUCGGUUUUGGAUGGACUCGCGGCCUAUCAGCUUGUUGGUGAGGUAAUGGCUCACCAAGGCGACGACGGGUAGCCGGCCUGAGAGGGUGACCGGCCACACUGGGACUGAGACACGGCCCAGACUCCUACGGGAGGCAGCAGUGGGGAAUAUUGCACAAUGGGCGAAAGCCUGAUGCAGCGACGCCGCGUGAGGGAUGACGGCCUUCGGGUUGUAAACCUCUUUCAGUGGGGAAGAAGCGAAAGUGACGGUACCUGCAGAAGAAGCACCGGCUAACUACGUG
rnacentral:rRNA from 1 species